rnacentral:lncRNA from 1 species
UAUUAAUUAGAUUAAGAGGAACUCACCAUUAAAAGAGGCUAUCAACAACUUGUCUCUCUCUCUCUCUCUCUCUCUAUAUAUAUAUAUAGAGUCCAGCUAUGGUGCUUGUAAAAGUACCAAGCACUUGGUGCUUGUAAGUUUUUUACCUUUAGAUCUAUUCCUCGGAUCAUUUUCAACCAUUAGAUUAUACUAUUCAACCAACCACCCACUAAACCCUAGACGGCCUAAUCAUUCUAACCACACAUCUCUUAAUCCAAUGGCUAAAAAUCUACAAGCACCAAUAACUUGGUACUUUUAAAAGCAUAGGAGCUCAAUUCUAUAUAUAUAUAGAGAGAGAGA